ensembl:lincRNA
UGACCCUCCUCAGCCCAAGCGACUCGUCGCCAUCGACCCCUCCCCUCGGCGCGCAGCCCGCUUUCCCCCGCCUCCCAAACCCACGUGACAGCCUCUCUCCCACCUGACUGGUUCCUCCCUUUCCCUCCGGGCCGGACCCGGCCGUCGCAGCUGCCCGACUCCAAAAUGGCAGCCGCGUACAGCGCGCACCGGAGCGGCCGGACCUCCCUGACUCCCAGGCCGACCCCCCGGCGCUCCCAGCCUCCGUCUUUCGGCCUUCACCUAGACGCUUCCGGAUUGGCCGCUAAGAAUCCCGCCUCUCCCAAGCCCCUCCUGCUAUUGGUCACGGUAGGCUGCCCUUCAGAGAGGCGUGCCCUCGCCCCCCCCCCCCGCCCCGGGAGGUAUUUUCCAUUCGAGUGGGGGUUGAGGAGCGGGGGGAGGGGAAGAGGGGGAAGGGGGAGAGGCAGCCGGGGAAGGGGGUGGAGGCCUGGCGGGGGCAUCCGGCGGAGCUGGGGUCCCCGGGCCCCGUGCGGAGGAAACGGGACUGAGCUCGCUCGGGCAGUCAGAGGGGACGGGACGGGGCCGGCGGGCGGGCGCCCUCUCUGUGGCUGCGCCGUCCGGGCCCGUCCUGCCUGGCCGCAGGUGCCCCUGGAUGAGGCCGCCCCGCGCGCCCCGACCGGGAGCUGCUGCCACUACUGGACUUGACAAAAGAAAAACAAACACACACUUGCUACCUUUGGGACUUCUGGUUCAAAGCUUCUCCACUUCCUCUUCUCCAGCUGAACCCUAGAGACAACAUCAUCUCUUGCUCUUGUUCAUUCUAGAACAGCAUUGUCCAAUAGAAGUUUAACGCAAGUCAUGAAUGAGAGUUACAUAUGUAAUUUAGCAUUUUCUAGUAACCACAUUUAAGAAAAAUAAAAAGGUGAAAUUAAUUUUAAUGAUAUAUUUUAUUUAAUGCAGUAUGAUGGUAGGUUAUUGUGUCAACUCGGCCAGGUAAUUGUGCCCAGUUGUUUGUCAAGCAAACACUGGGCUAACUGCAAUACAAGGGCAUUUAUGGACUUUAGUCACCAUUGACUUCACUGCAGUGGUAAAUCAUAGAUAGCUGGUUAUAAUUACAUCAAUCAGGGAGAUUGCCAUCAGCAGUGAGUGACGCUUAACCCAAUCAGUUGAUUGUCUUAAAAGGGGACGUGAUUCAAGUAUUGAGAGAGAAUUUCCAAGCUUGUCUCCCAGAACUCGUCAAGAACUUCCAUUGGACUUUCACUGCAGUCCCUGGUUGUGACCUGCCUGCAGAACCUGGACUUGUACAUCCCCACGGCUGCAUGAGAGACUCUUAUAGAAUCGUAUACUAUUAACAGAUACCAUUUGUUGAUUCUGUUUCAAUAGAGAACCCUGACUAAUACACCUAGUAUCCAAAACAAUAUCACUUCAACAUGUAAUCAAUAGAAAAUUUAUUGCUAUCAUUUAUAUUCUUUUUUCUCAUACUCUUUUUUGAAAAUCAGUGCAUAUUUUAUACUCACAGUACUUCUCAAUGCAGCUGCCACAUUAAAAUGCUUAACCUCCAUGUGUGACUGAGUGGACCGCAUGGCUCAAGAAAUGAGAAUAAAACGUGGUGGGACAGGAGGGAACUUCUGGGAAGAUGGAGGAUUGGAGAGACACAGGAUUCACUUCUUUCUCAGAAAAAUAACUAAAGGACAGAAAGAGAUGGCAUGAAAAAAAUGUUUUAGGGUUUAAAGCACCAGGGGAAGGCUGAAUACCACACAGAAGAGAAAGGAAUAAAGGAAAAGAACCUACAGGAAAACUCUGUGAGUAGAAGCUACACCUGCAGCUGCCAACGCCCAUCCCCUAUCCUCAGAACAGACAGCUUUGAAUUCUUGGACCUCUGGCCAGCAGCUACAGAUGGAGGAGCAUGCAUGGGGUCUGCCUCCUCAGGAAAAGGGAGAGAGAGGGACGCACCCUAAGGUUUAUUCAGCUUUUGGCCAACAAAUCUGGUCUGCUGUGUCCAGUGAGCCAUGGGGACAAAAGAGAUCCAACUCUCACAAACACCCUUCCUAUUGACCAGGACUGGUUGUAGAGGAUACAUAGGGGAGUAGGAUUAUUUCUUACCCAGGAAAAGGGAGGGAGCUGCCAGCAAAGGCUGGAGAACAGUCUCUGAGAAAGCUUGAUUUGUGAGGCUCUGAAUAGCCUUGCAGCAGGAUCCUCUGUCACGUUGUUACAGUCAGUGUUGAAGCAAAUAUAUUCUGACCAGGGUUUGAAGUGAGAGGUCUGCUGAAGAGUGCCAUCUGCUUUCAGACCAAGGAGGUUCAUGUGAGGAAAUUAAAAGUAAACCAAGGAAGCAGACCUGGCCCAAUGGAUAGAGCAUCUGCCUACUACGUGGGAGGUCCACAGUUCAAACCCCAGGCCUCCUUGACCCGUGUGCAGCUGGCCCACGCACAGUGCUGAUGUGCGCAAGGAGUGCCCUGCCAUGCAGGGAUGUCCCCCGCGUAGGGGAGCCCCACGUGCAAGGAGUGCGCCCCGUAGGGAGAGCUGCCCAGCAUGAAAGAGAGUGCAGCCUGCCCGGGAAUGGUGCCGCACACACGGAGAGCUGACACAGCAAGAUGACGCAACAGAAAGAGACACAGAUUCCCGUGUUGCUGACAACAUCAGAAGUGGAGAAAGAAGACACAGAGAACAGACAACUGGGGCGGGGGGGAUGGGGAGAGAAAUAAAUAAAUAAAUCUUUUAAAAAAUAAAUAAAAAUUUAUUUUAAAAAAGCAACAGCAUGGUAUUGGCAUAAAUAUAGACUUAUUGAUCAAUGGAAUAGAAUUGAGAGGCUGGAAAUAAACCCUGACUUCUAUGACUAACUGGUUUUUGACAAACCUACCAAUUCCACAUUACUGAGAUAUAAUAGUCUCUUCAAAAAAUGGUGCUGGGAGAACCGGAUAUCCAUAACCAAAAGAAUGAGAGACCCCUAUCUCACUCCCUAUACUAGAAUUAACUCAAAAUGGAUCAAAGACCUAAAUAUAAAAGCCAAGACUAUAAAACUCCUAGAAGAAAAUGUAGGGAAAUACCUUAAAGACCUUGUGGUAGGUGAUGAUUUCUUGGAUCUUACACCCAAAGCAUGAACAACAAAAUAAAAAAUAGAUAAAUGGGACCUUCUCAAAAUUAAACAGUUUUGCAUCUCAAAGACUUUCUCAAAAGAAUGAAAAGAACAGCCAACUCAAUGGGAGAAAAUAUUUGGAAAUAUAUCUGAUAAGGGUUUAAUAUCCAUGAUACAUAAAGAGAAGCCACAAUUGAACAAUAAAAAGACGAACAAUCCAAUUAAAACAUGGGCAAAAGACUUGAAUGGACAUAUGUCCAAAGAGGAAAUACAAACGACAAAAAAACACAUGAAAAAAUGUUCAACAUCACUAGUGAUUAGGGAAAUGCAAAUAAAAACUACAGUGAGAUAUCAUUACACACCAUGAGAAUGGCCAUUAACAAAACAGUAAACUACAUGUGUUAGGAUGUGGAGGGAUAGGAAUGCUGGGGAAGACUGUUGGGCAGUUCCUAAGACAUUAAAUAUAGAUUUACCACAUUACCCAGCAAUACCAUUACUAGGUAUAUACCCAAAAGAAAUAAGAGCAGUGACACAAAAUGUCAUCUGCCCACCAAUGUAUAUAGUGGUGUUAUUCACAAUUGCCAAAAGAUAGAACAACCCAGGUGUCCAUCAACCAAUGAAUGGAUAAACAAACAGUGGUAUAUACAUACGAUGGACUGUUAUAAACAGCUGUUAAGAAGAAAGGAAGUCGUGAAGUAUAUGACAACAUGGAUGAAUGUGGAGGACACUAUGUUGAGUAAAGCAAACCAGACACAAAAGGACAGAUACUGUAUGAUUGCUCCUAUUAUGAACUAAAUAUAUUAUGUAAACUCAAGAAGUUAAUAACGAGAAUAUAGGUCACCAGAAAAUAGAACAAGGUUAGAGAAUGGAAAGCUGAGAGUUAACCUGUGCAGAACUGCUUCAAUUAAAAAAAAAAAAAAGUUCAUAAAUCUUUGGAAAUGAAUAGAAUAGUAAAAGCACAUCGCAGAGUUUGUAACUAGCAGUGCUAAUGUAUAGGUAUGACAGCGGUUGAAAUGCAAAGUCUAAGGGUCUAUAUACUAAUAGAAGGAAAAUUAAAUAAUGUAACAUGGGACUGUAUUAUAUUACCGAAACCUCAUGUGAAAUGUGAAUAUGGGUAAUAUUGCAUAUAUAAGACUGUUUUUCUUUGAAACUGAACAAACGUGCAUUAAUGUUACAAGAUGUUAAUAUCAGGCAAAAUAUGGACAGUAGUGCAUAGUAAUAUAUUAAUAAUUUUCUAUUCGGAGUUUAAAAAAAUGGAAAAUAUACUAAGUGAAAGAAACUACACAAAAGGUACUACAUAUUAUUUGGCUCCAUCUAUAAAAAAUAUUAAUACAAAUAAAUUAGAAAGACAGAAAUAGAAAGACAGCCAUGUACAACAGGGGAAGCACAGAGAAUUGAGAGAUGAUUAUUAACGGGUAUAGCUUUGUUUUUUAUUAUUAUUAUUAUUGGAAUAAUGAAAAUGUUCUAAUAAUGAUUGAAGUGAUGAAUGUACAACUCUGUGAUUAUACCAAAUACUACUGAUUGUACAAUUUGGAUAAAUUGUAUGCUUUAUUCAUAUGUAUCAAUAAAUUGACCUUUUAAGAAGAA